AAGGCUCUGUAAAUCCCAGUUAAUCCCAGUCGCUCCCAGUGUAUCCUCAGCCACCCCCAGUAUGGUUACACACACUCCCAGUAUAUCCCAGUUGCCCUCAGCAUGUCCGUAGUCAUUCCCAGAUGCUCCCAGUGGUCCCAGUAAGGUGUUUCUUAUCCCAGUAUCAUACCAGUCACACCCAGUAUAUCCCAGUUGCCUCCAGCAUGCAUCCAGUCCUUCCCACUUACUCCAGUUUGCUUGCAGCAUCAUCCCAGUUUCUCUCGGUUGCUCCCAGUAGCCCAAAGUGUGAUCCCAGUUGCUCCUUUACAACACCAAUAUGAUCCCAGUAACCUCCAGUAUGAUCCCAGUCGCAUGCCAGCACUCCCAGUAUGGUCCCAGUUGCCUCCACCAUGGUUCCAGUUGCUUCCUAGAUCAACCCAGUCAGUCCCAGUAUGAUGCCAUUUGCUCCCAGUGUGCUCCCAGUCACCCCCAGUAUGGGGGAUGAUAUGCAUGCUGUGUUUCCCAGUCACUCUCAGAUACUCCCAGUAUUAGUCCAGUCACACCCAAUAGGAUCCAAAUAUGACCCCAGUGUGCUCCCAGUCACUGCCAGUAUGAACCAGUUGCCCCCCACAGAUUCCAGUGGCUCUCUUUCACCCUCACUUUUUUCCAGUCACUCCAAAUUCCUCCCAGUAACUUCCAGCAUGAUCCCAUUUGCUCACAACCCCUCCCAGUCAGCCUCAGUGUAGUUGCACUCACUGCCAGUCUGAUCCCAGUCACCUCCAGCAUAAUCCCAGUUCAUCACAGUAGAAGCCCAGUUGCUUCCAAUCACCCCCAGCAUGCACCCAGUCACUCCCAGUUGCUCCUAGCAUGAUCCCAGUUGCUCCCAGCUGCUCCCAGUCACCCUCAGCAUGAUUCCAGUCACUCCCAGGGUAUCCCAUUUGCCCCCAACAAGGUCUCAAUUGCCCCCCAAAGGCUCCUACUCACUCCCAGUAUGAUCCCAGUAUGAUUCUGGUGUCCCUCAGUGUGAUUGCAGUCUCCCCUGGCAUGGGCCCACCUGCUCCCACUAUGAUGUCAGUACGAUCCCAGUACAGCCCAGUCACUGCCAGUAUGAUGCCACUCCUGGGAUCCCCCAGCCCUCUCUGCGUUCCCCCUCCCGGCUCUCCAGGCUCCGAGAGGAGCCCCAAGGGCUGCAAGUCCCCACCCAGGGUCCCCAGUAAGGCCCAGUUUGGAUGUGCAGCCCCCAAUGUUCCCAGUUUCCCUCUCCUUUCCCCGGGCUGGGUUCCCCCGCCCCCAGCGGGUGGGAGCAGCCGAGAGCCCCGCGCUGCCCAUCCCGACCUGUCCCGGCUCCAUCCCCGCUGCUCCCGCGGGCUGCGAGGGGCUCAGGGACGGGGGACCCAGGAUGUGGCUGGUCCUGGGGUGAGGAGGAGGAGGGAUUGGGGAGGAGGAAUGAAGAAGGAGAGCAAGAAGGGAUGGGAGUGGGAGAAGGAGGUGGGAGGAGGAAGAGGAGGGACAAGGGAGGAUCAAGUAAAGGGGAAGGAAGAACGAGGUUGAGCGCUCCCUGAAUUUGCAGCCCCCCACCCGUGGGAGCAUUGCCCCCCCAUCUCGCAGGUGCCCGGGAAGGGGGAGCUUGGCCCAGAUAUCCUGGGGGGUCCCUGGAUUGGGUUUUUUUGGGAGGAGCGGAUGUUUGGAGUAUGAAGAUCUCCAAAGCUGAGCUGCAAAUGCCCCUUGCAGGGACAUUGGGGGUCCCCAGGAGGUGUUUUUGAGUGGUCUUGGUGGUGGUGCCAGCAGAGCCCUGGCAGCGGGCAGGGGGUUGGGUCUGCCCCGGGUCAGGCACGGCCAAUUCCCGUUCAGCGCCAGGGGGCUGCGGGACCCCCCAGGAGGGGCAGAGGGGGGAACUUGGGGACCCCCAGAGAUGGGAGAGCAGAGAGGGGCAGUACCUGGACCAGAGGAGCCCCGGCAGUCUGGAGGAGCGAACCCCUGUGACCCCCAGGACCCCAAAGUGGGGAGCCCAGAGAGGGGGGAGCGCCGCCAUUUGCGGGACCAUCAACAGCCUGGAGAGGGGGAGGGGGGACUCCUUGGACCCCCUGCACCCCGAAGCAGAGAAUAAGGGGAGAAGGAUCCCUUGGACCCCAUAACCCCCAGCAUCCCUAAGUGGGGAGCCCACGGUGGAGCUUUUUGGAUUCCUGGACUCCCAGCAGCCUGGGGAGGGCGGGGACCAAGUAGAUGGGGGACCCCAAUACAAGCGUGACCCCUGGCAGCUGGGACAGGGGGGAAUCCCCAAAUAUCAGAGUGGUGGGACUAGGGAGAGGUGGAAUUCCUGUGAGGCUUUUUCAGGGCUGAAUCUUGGUGUUUGGGAGGUUUUUCUGGACCCCAG
rnacentral:lncRNA from 13 species